AACGUAGGACACAAGCGUUAUCCGGAGUUACUGGGCGUAAAGAGCGCGUAGGCGGUUUGUUAAGUCUGCUAUGAAAGCACCUGGCUAAACUGGGUGAGGCUGGCGGAUACUGGCAAGCUAGAGUGAGACAGAGGCAGAUGGAAUUCCGCGUGUAGUGGUGAAAUGCGUAGAGAUGCGGAGGAACACCAGUGGCGAAGGCGGUCUGCUGGGUCUCAACUGACGCUGAGGCGCGAAAGCGUGGGGAGCGAAC
rnacentral:rRNA from 1 species